AAGAGACAGCAGUAGCCGCGGGAAAACGUAGGUGGCAAGCGUUGUCCGGAUUUAUUGGGCGUAAAGCGAGCGCAGGCGGUUAGAUAAGUCUGAAGUUAAAGGCUGUGGUUUAACCAUAGUACGCUUUGGAAACUGUUUGACUUGAGUGCAAGAGGGGAGAGUGGAAUUCCAUGUGUAGCGGUGAAAUGCGUAGAUAUAUGGAGGAACACCGGUGGCGAAAGCGGCUCUCUGGUCUGUCACUGACGCUGAGGCUCGAAAGCGUGGGUAGCGAACAGGAUUAGAUACCCCUGUAGUCCCUGUCUCUUAUACA
rnacentral:rRNA from 1 species